rnacentral:lncRNA from 1 species
AACAGCUUAGCUGAUCUUUAUCUCUUUUCAAGACCGAUAAAAGGUUUAUGCACCAUCGUUUCAUCCAGCAUAAAGUGUGUUUGUGGGAGUAUUCAUAUACUAAAGUUGUUCCAAGCAAUAGAAUAUAUCCUUCAACAAUUCCUCCAUUUUCAGUCUGACCAAGCAGGAGAUAAAAACUGAGAGGGGCUCCAUCAAAAACGUUGAAAGACAAACAAACAACUACCACGUUGUCCUAUAAACAAUUGUAAGUGGCUACAGGUAAUCAACCAAUAUAAAAUGCUUUAUCAACUUUUUUUUUUCCUUUAAUUUUUUAAUUUUUUUCCUGGUCAAAAAUAUUGACGUGUGUGUACAUGUGAUUCAUUCAGCUGCUUAAGAUAAAGCUAAUCCUUGAGACAAAGAAAGAAUUGAUGGGUCUGAUCUUUGACGUUUCAAUGGAAGCCAUGAUUAUGGGGGCAUUAGGGGGGCUGAGGAGGGUGUGAGGGCCACAUAUUCAUCUCCAUGCAGUGGAUCAUUGAGGAAUCCCAGGGGAGGUGCCUUCACAUUGGACUACAAACUUCCUUUUCUCUGUAGCUCCCAUCAAAACCUGCAGGGACAGUUUGCCUCAUCAAAUAGCAUCCCACUACAACAAGUUGAAAGUUGCCAAAGGUGAAAGCAAUCAUCUUUCCUUUUCUAUCGAAACAUGUACCAUUACAAGCAUCUUUGGUUGCAGAGAAAAUGAGACAUAAAUCAGUGUGAUAAUAAAGCAUGCCUCUUAUAAUAUAUUACCAGUGGUAAGAAGUUGUUUGGGCGGAAAGGCCGAAAGGGACUCUCGAGAAUUUGUCAAAGCGGACAAUUCUGAUGAGAUAUUGACGUGGUAAAUGAAAAUAGCUCCAAAACCCACAAAUAAGUAAGCUUAUUGGCCAUGGAAAGACUGUACAUUGAGAAAGUGGCAGCCCAUCAAAUGAGGCCAGAAGAGCAUGAUCCAUUCAAGCGCCCGUUGCUGCCUCCUCAAAGUGGGAUGGAAUCGAUUGCAGACAUGUAUAUUGAGUCCAGACUCAGCCUUGCUUCAGACAAGAUCCUAUGACGUGUCCCCUUGUAAAAUUCAAAGUUGUGAAUGAAAAAGGUCUUUAUAUAUUCCUGAUAAUGGCGCUCCGAAUCAGAAUGAGAGGAGUUUGUAGAGGGGACUUAACAGAGCCAAGCCAACAGAAGAGAGGGAAGAUCUAUUUUGGGUUCAUCUUGGGUCUCACUGGGCCUUCACAAACAUCAUAUCAAACCAUGGGAAAAGGAAACAAUUUCAAAAAAUGGCCCCACAAGCUGAUAAGUCUUCAUUAUUUUCUGUCUUCAUAUAAUUUAUGUUAAGAAUCUUGAGAUCAGUCUGGAGGUGGAAG